CUAGGCUACCCUGCCGCCCCAGUAUACUGUAUGUGUUUUAUGUCCGUCCUACAUGUAGUGUUGAUACAUGGAAUAUUCAUCAACUGCAUAUAUCAUAAAUUGCUAUUGCAAAUAGAAGUAUUAUGUUCAACAACUGACGUUUUCAGUUAUUAUUUUGACACACACACUUUAACACACUUUGGUGCUUACAAUUCAUUCUCUAUUGUCAUAGAUUUGAUGGGCACUGUCAUCUGUGAUCUUUGUGAUAUGACUUUCUUUAAGCACGUACUGAUGAAACUGUCACUUAAUAUUUUUGCUCAAAGUCUACAAACGCUCUACAUUUAUUCACUCUGUGAUAGGGUUGGAUCCUAUAUGCUACUUUUAUUAUUCUCCUGUAAAUGGUUCAGUGCCAAUAAUUUAGGCUGUGUGUAGAAUGGGGCAUAAAGGAAAUUACCUCUACAACUAAAUUACUACCAGAUUAUAGUGAUAAGGAAAACAGCAUACAAAUUUGGCUUGUGUAUUCAUUUGCCUAUAACUAAUCAGAAUUCCAUUAUGUUUCCAUUAAAAAGAGAAUACUUCAAAAUGAGAAGAUCCUGCCAUGGAAAAGACGACUGGUUGGACAUAAAGUGGAAAGGAGGGGAAAUAACUCCCACCAUGCAGCAGGAUACCUUCAGCUGCGGGGUCUUUGUAAUGCAGAUGGACAAGGAAGGAAGUUGCCCAACAUCCCCUCCCAAAUGGAUAUAGAACCUUCACAAAAACACAAGCAGCAACUGCAAAAAGAAAUGGCUGAGGAUUUACUAAAAAUGUCUGGUAUGUAAUGACAUUUAAUUCAAAGUAAAUGUCAAUUCAUUAUUUUUAUGCAGUUGUGUGGGACAGCCAUAUGUUCAGUUCAUGCCUGAGUUCAACAAAGCCAACAACUGCUUUAUGUGUGCCACUGAUAAAGAACCUGAAUGCAGCCCAAAGACUGACUGGGUUAGUAACUUUAUUUAACCUGUUUAUAAUCUUUUGACAACAGAGACGGCAUGUCAGACAAUUUAUGAUAUAACACAAUGGAUGGCUAAUUUGUAAUACUGCAUUGAUAUUUGCUAUUAUUUCUAACAUGUUAGGCUUUGUUUUGAUUGAAUGUUUUGCAUGCCAACGGUGGUUCCAUGUGCUGUGCCUAGGAAUGAAAACAAUAGAGUUCAACAGAGUAAAGAACUGGAAGUGCUGUCUUUGUUGUUGAAAAUGUAUGCUAUUCCCCAUCCACACUGAAGAGGCUCUGACAUGUACAUCAACCAGGGUUAAUGUAUGCUGUACCCCAUCCACACUGAAGAGGCUCUGAAAUGUACAUCAACCAGGGAUAAAAAGAAAGUUAACAUUGUGAAAUGUUUUGUACUUAUUUGAAGUGUCUGUUGACAUGUUGGAAAAGAUUAAAGGUCUACAAUUUG